CCUGAUGCAGCAACCCCGCGUGCGGGAUGACGCCCUUCGGGUUGUAAACCGCUUUCGCCUGUGACCAAGCGUGAGUGACGGUAAUGGGUAAAGAAGCACCGGCUAACUACGUGCCAGCAGCCGCGGUGAUACGUAGGGUGCGAGCGUUGUCCGGAUUUAUUGGGCGUAAAGGGCUCGUAGGUGGUUGAUCGCGUCGGAAGUGUAAUCUUGGGGCUUAACCCUGAGCGUGCUUUCGAUACGGGUUGACUUGAGGAAGGUAGGGGAGGAUGGAAUUCCUGGUGGAGCGGUGGAAUGCGCAGAUAUCAGGAGGAACACCAGGGCGAAGGCGGUUCUCUGGGCCUUUCCUGACGCUGAGGAGCGAAAGCGUGGGGAGCGAACAGGCUUAGAUACCCUGGUAGUCCACGCUGUAAACGGUGGGUACUAGGUGUGGGGUCCAUUCCACGGGUUCCGCGCCGUAGCUAACGCUUUAAGUACCCCGCCUGGGGAGUACGGCCGCAAGGCUAAAACUCAAAUGAAUUGACGGAA
rnacentral:rRNA from 1 species